rnacentral:lncRNA from 1 species
UACAAAACCAAGCCAGACCAAAAGCAGUGUUCAACCUGUGGCUAUUCCUACAGGACAGAUUACCAACAAAUGAUAGACUACAUAGUUGGGGAAUGAGUAUUGAUCAGCAAUACACCCUAUGCCAAAUCCAACCUGAAACAAGAGAUCAUCUGCUCAGGAACUGCCCUGUCACUGUGGAUCUAUGGGGAAUGAACUGGCUGCAGGAACAAUACCUACCUAGUAUUAGUUGGAACCAGAAAGUGCAAUGGUUUGAACUGGUUGCAGGAACAAUACCUACCUAGUAUUGAUUGGAACCAGAAAGUGCAAUGGUUGAUUACCAAAGCCAAGGGACGAACAUGUCGUGCAACCAUUUUUAAAAUGGUUACAGCUGAAGUUGCAUAUGCUAUCUGCUGGAAAGGAAUUCAAGAGUAUUCAACAAGACUUUUCGAUGUAAUACUGCUUUACUGAGAGACAUAGUGUAUAAUUGUAAUGUUAGAGGCGCCCCUAGAAUUAGGCAACAAUUGCAACACCUUAGAUUGUAGUAAAAGUUAGAUAGUUAGGAUAAUAAGUGUAGUUAAUAUGUUAGCACUCAGACAGUCGGCCGAGUUGAAGCUUGACUGUGGUUUUGUAAUGUAACUUCAUUGGUGAUUAAUGAAAAAACCUUAAUUACCAAAAAAAAAGAGAUCGUAAUAGGUGAAUGCAAUAUCUUAUGUUAUUAAGUGCAUGACCAACACUAUAGCUAAUUUUAUACCGUGUACUCAUAUGAGUUUGAAAUUCCAGUUUGAGGCGAUGCUUUCAAAUUCGACUGCCUAAUCUGAUUGUCCUUUUGAUUUGUUUAAAUGAGACUACCACAUAUCCCUACUACAUUACCUACUAGAAAAAAUUUUAACAUGAAAACGCACAACCAUUACAAAAUGCUAUCACUGAGCAUGGCAUUUCUUGUUACUGAUAUUUAACACAGUCCUAGACAACUUUUAACAUCAAUACUGCAGCUAAUUAACAGAUAUAUGUAACCACUAACAGAAAUGAACUUGCUCUUUUACUAAGAAGAAUAAAAUUUUAACAGUCCUAUAUCAGUCUAAUUAUACAUUCAGCAACAAUUCACACGACAUUAGUGAAUGAAAUAUCCAAAAUACGAAUCAGUGGAACAGUUAAAUCAACUUAAGCUUCAAAUCCUCAUGUAUAUUCAGGCUCAAUGUUUCCUGCUUACAAAUUUGCAAGGUUACAGCCGUGUACCUGGGAAUCAGUUUACAGCAGAUGAAGAAGGAGUCAGCAAUAGUUAGCGCAUGUAACAGUAGAGCAGCAAUCACCAGCAACAAAUAGGACCAAUUCAGGGGUAAACCAAAUCAGAAUAUCCAGGAAGAAAGAGAAUCAAUCCAAAACCAUACUGAACUUAAUCGAAAUUGGACUGGGAGAAUUAUAAAUCACCUUGAGUCACGAGAUUUAACCUACAAUCAGCUCAAACCCAUUCACACAGACUCGAAACUGAAACCAAGUGAUCCAAUACCCCUACAGCUACUAGAAAUGUGCAGUGAUGAUUUGACUAAGCCUCAAAACUACUUUCAAUGGCCAUGAAUAUGAAGAUUACCCAAGGAAGCAAUUGAACAGUAAACUGCUUUUUUGUUUUUUUGUUUGUUUUCUAUUGUUGUUAGAUUUUUGAAUAUUUUAGAGUUUUGAUCUCAAGUUUCAGAUAUGAAACUUGUAGAGAAUGGGAGGGAAUUUUGUGAGGCUCCAAAACUUGUUAGUGAAGAAAAGGUCAUGCCCUUUUAUAAGCACAAUCAAAUUUUCAGUUUUUCUUUUAGU